GAUGAACGCUGGCGGCGUGCCUAAUACAUGCAAGUCGAGCGAACAGACGAGGAGCUUGCUCCUCUGACGUUAGCGGCGGACGGGUGAGUAACACGUGGAUAACCUACCUAUAAGACUGGGAUAACUUCGGGAAACCGGAGCUAAUACCGGAUAAUAUACUGAACCGCAUGGUUCAAUAGUGAAAGACGGUUUUGCUGUCACUUAUAGAUGGAUCCGCGCCGCAUUAGCUAGUUGGUAAGGUAACGGCAUACCAAGGCAACGAUGCGUAGCCGACCUGAGAGAGUAUUCGGCCACACUGGAACUGAGGCACGGUCCAGACUCCUACGGAAGGCAACAUUAGGGAAUCUUCCACAAUAAGCGAAAGCCUGACGGAGCAACGCCGCGUGAGUGAUCAAGGUCUGCGGAUCGUAAGACUCUGUUAUUAGGGAAGAACAAAUGUGUAAGUAAAUAUGCACGUCUUGACGGUACCUAAUCAGAGAGCCACGGCUAACUACGUA
rnacentral:rRNA from 1 species